rnacentral:rRNA from 1 species
UACGUAGGGGGCAAGCGUUGUCCGGAAUCAUUGGGCGUAAAGAGCGUGUAGGCGGUCCGGUCAGUCGGUUGUGAAAGUCAAGGGCUCAACCCUUGAAUGCCGGCCGAUACUGCCGGGCUAGAGUCCGGAAGAGGUGAGUGGAAUUCCUGGUGUAGCGGUGAAAUGCGCAGAUAUCAGGAGGAACACCAAUGGCGAAGGCAGCUCACUGGGACGGUACUGACGCUGAGACGCGAAAGCGUGGGGAGCGAACAGG